UACGGGGGGUGCAAACGUUGCUCGGAAUUAUUGGGCGUAAAGCGCACGUAGGCGGUCUUGUAAGUCGGGUGUGAAAGCCCGGGGCUUAACCCCGGAAGUGCAUACGAAACUGCAAGGCUUGAGUAUGGAAGAGGGUCUCGGAAUUCCCGGUGUAGAGGUGAAAUUCGUAGAUAUCGGGAGGAACACCAGUGGCGAAGGCGGAGACCUGGGCCAAUACUGACGCUGAGGUGCGAAAGCGUGGGGAGCAAACAGG
rnacentral:rRNA from 1 species